rnacentral:rRNA from 1 species
AGAGUUUGAUCAUGGCUCAGGACGAACGCUGGCGGCGUGCCUAAUACAUGCAAGUCGAGCGAAUGGAAGGGAGCUUGCUCCCGACCGUUAGCGGCGGACGGGUGAGUAACACGUGGGCAACCUGCCUAUAAGACUGGGAUAACUUCGGGAAACCGGAGCUAAUACCGGAUAGUUCUUUUCCUCUCAUGAGGGAAAGGGGA